CCUACGGGAGGCAGCAGUGAGGAAUAUUGGUCAAUGGACGCGAGCCUGACCCAGCAAAGUAGCGUGAAGGAUGACUGCCCUACGGGUUGUAAGCUUCUUUUAUAAAGGAAUAAAGUGAGGCACGUGUGCAUUUUUGGAUGGACGUGAUGAAUAAGGAACGGCUGAGUCCGUGCCAGCAGCCGCGGUAAUACGGAGGAUACGAGCGUUAUCCUGAUUUAGUGGGUUGAAAGGGAGCGUAGAUGGGUUGUUAAGUCAGUUGUGAAGGGUUUCGGCUCAACCGUAAAAUUGCAAUUGAUACUGGCAGUCUUGAGUACAGUUGAGGUAGGUGGAAUUCGUGGUGUAGCGGUGAAAUGCUUAGAUAUCACGAAGAACUCCGAUUGCGAAGGCAGCUUACUAAACUGCCACUGACAUUGAUGCUCGAAAGUGUGGGUAUCAAACAGGAUUAGAUACCCCUGUAGUC
rnacentral:rRNA from 1 species